UACGUAGGGUGCGAGCGUUGUCCGGAAUUAUUGGGCGUAAAGAGCUCGUAGGCGGUGUGUCACGUCGUUCGUGAAAACCUGCAGCUUAACUGUGGGCGUGCGGUCGAUACGGGCAUCACUGGAGUCGGCAGGGGAGACUGGAAUCCUGGUGUAGCGGUGAAAUGCGCAGAUAUCAGGAGGAACACCGGUGGCGAAGGCGGGUCUCCUGGGGCCCGACUACUGACGCUGGAGGAG
rnacentral:rRNA from 1 species